UACGGAGGAUGCGAGCGUUAUCCGGAUUUAUUGGGUUUAAAGGGUGCGUAGGUGGCCAAUUAAGUCAGUGGUGAAAGUUUGUCGCUCAACGAUAAAAUUGCCAUUGAAACUGGUUGGCUUGAGUAUGUUUGAGGUAGGCGGAAUGCGUAGUGUAGCGGUGAAAUGCAUAGAUAUUACGCAGAACUCCAAUUGCGAAGGCAGCUUACUAAACCAUAACUGACACUGAUGCACGAAAGCGUGGGUAUCAAAC
rnacentral:rRNA from 1 species